GGAACCUAAGGUCUGAUGGAUAUGGUCUAUGCAAGUUGACUAAGAAGGAAACAGGUUCUGCUGGGUGAGAACGGCUGGGUUAAAAACAGGCGCUGAAAAGAUAAAACGGGGCUAAGAGAAGUAAAAAUUAGGGUCUGACAAGGAAAGUGGAACUGGUGAACAAGGCUGGGUAUGACUGAGAAGGAAAGAGAAUGAUCUUAGCAGGAAAAAGGUCAAGGGAAUUAAUGCUGGUUUGAGAAGGACAUUAGGAGAAUGUGGGUUGG